GUUAUGGUGACUUGUUGCUUACCUGGACUAUGUAUCCUUGGUGAACUUUAUAAAAAAUAUCAGUAUGUCAUUUUGAUGUAUGAUUCCUUGUCUAAAAAAUAUAUAUGACAAGACUCCCCCCACCCCAUCGUGACUGAGUGGUUAAAGAUCCCGACUAGUAUCCACGAAGACUCAGGUUCAAUUUCCGGCCUCGCUCUGUGGGUUAAGGAUCCGAUGCUGCCAUAAACUGUGGUGCAGGUUGAGGACUCAACUUGCAUCUGGCGUUGCUGUGGCUGUGGUGUAGGCCGGCAGCUGUAGCUCCAAUUCCAUCCCCAGCCUGGGAACUUCCAUAUGCCGGUGGGUACGGCCCCAAAAAAGACAAACAAAAACAAGACAAAAAACGUAUAUGGCUAUGCCUUCCGAGGCAAAACGAUUCUCAGGGUUUUCAGAGAAAUCUCCUUCCAGGGUUAUAAUCCUCAGUUUGGCUUAAAUAAAAUUCUCUUUUAAAAUUCUUGGCAGUUAACCUUCCUCAAGUAUUUAAAGAAAAAUACUAAGUAAACAAUAGUAACAUACGUUAGGUAACAUGUUACUUUGGGGGCAAAACAUUUAGCCUCUGUGAGACUCAGGUUCGCCGGCUUUAAAACAGAGUGGCCCCUGCUUGAAAGUUGCUGGAACAAAUGAAUUUACGUGUGUGAAGCGCUUACUCGGAACCAGCGGGAUAAACACUAACAUCGACCACUACCACAACUGACGACGAGGCCAACGGCGUUCCAGAUUCUGCCUGCAGGGAGUCCUGCCCGCAACUGCAGGAGCGGACCACCACCUACCGAAGUCCACCCUGCAAACAAACGCUCUUCCUCCCGACGUGCACCAGAGCCCGCCCCCAGGUUGGUGCCGCUAUGGCCGUGCCACUCGACUUCCGUUUCCGGGGCGCCGAGGCAGUUUCCGGCGGCGUGACCUGAGCGCGUCGGGCAGCGUGGUCCCGGAGCCGGAAGGGUCAGCGCAGGCGGCUGGAUUAUAUUCAGGAUCUUGGAAGCACUGCCAGUAUGUCUGAUGUUCAAGAGUCCACUAACCCACUCCUGGAUGUGAAUCUUCUUGAGAACCAGAGCUCUACACAAGUGACCGAAAGUGGCCCCAAAAGUGAGUCCGAGCAUCUCCGAGUCACUAUUGGAGCCACUGUGCCUACUGGUUUUGAGCAAACAGCUGCAGAUGAAGUGAGAGAGAAAUUGGGAUCAUCAUGCAAAAUCAGCAAAGACCGGGGCAAGAUAUAUUUUGACAUUUCAGUGGAAAGUCUGGCUCAGGUUCAUUGUCUGAGAUCAGUUGAUAACUUAUUUGUGGUUGUUCAAGAGUUUAAGGAUUACCAGUUCAAAGAAACAAAGGAAGAAGUUCUAAAGGAUUUUGAGGAAUUGGCUGGGAAGCUUCCAUGGUCAGACCCUUUAAAAAUAUGGAAAAUUAACACCCGUUUCAAGAAAAGAAAAACAAAGCGCAAAAAGAUAAGUCAGAAUACAAGUAAAGAGAAGAUUGAUAAUGGUCAAGGAGACAAAACAGAUGAGAAGGAUGUUAAAAAAGAGAUCACUAACAAUGUCUUAGAUUCACAGAUCUUAGACUAUUAUGAAAAUCUAGCCAUCAAAGAAGAGAUAUCAACAUUAGUAGGUGAUGACUUGGUGUCUUGCAAAGAUGAGACUGAUGAAAGCUCAAAAGAAGAAACUGAUCCUGAGGUGCUAAAGUUUAGAGUCACAUGCAACAGGGCAGGAGAGAAACACUGUUUUUCCUCAAAUGAGGUGGCAAGAGAUUUUGGGGGUGCCGUUCAAGAGUAUUUUAAGUGGAAGGCUGACAUGACCAACUUUGAUGUGGAGGUUCUUCUGAAUAUCCAUGAUAAUGAAGUUGUUGUUGGCAUUGCAUUGACAGAAGAGAGUCUCCACCGAAGAAAUAUCACUCAUUUUGGACCCACAACUCUUAGAUCUACUCUCGCCUAUGGGAUGCUCAGGCUCUGUGCUCCUCAGCCUACUGAUAUAAUAAUUGAUCCAAUGUGUGGAACAGGGGCAAUACCAAUUGAGGGGGCUACAGAAUGGUCUAACUGUUACCAUAUUGCUGGCGAUAAUAAUCCAUUGGCUGUGAAUAGAGCAGCAAAUAAUAUUUCAUCCUUAUUGACCAAGAGUCAAGUUAAAGAAGGAGUUGGAGGAGACCUGAAAGCCAUCCCUGCAGUGCCUAACUAUCCUGUAGGAAAUCCUGACCAAUGGCCUUCCAGCCUGUCAAAUUGUCCUGGGGCUUGCCCAUAGAUACUGUUCAAUGGGAUAUCUGCAAACUGCCAUUAAGAACUGGUUCUGUGGACAUUAUUGUAACAGACAUGCCAUUUGGAAAAAGGAUGGGUUCCAAGAAGAGAAACUGGGACCUUUAUCCAGCUUGCCUACGGGAGAUGAGCCGUGUCUGUAGACCAGGGACAGGCCGAGCUGUACUACUGACUCAGGACAAGAAGUGCUUUACUAAGGCAUUAUCCGCAAUGGGACAUGUAUGGCGGAAGGUGCAUACUGUCUGGGUGAACAUAGGGGGACUUCAUGCUGCAGUUUAUCUUCUGAAACGUACACCUCAAACUUUUGUUCAUCCUUCAGAACAAGAUGGAGGAAGAUCUCCUUGGUAAUGCAAAGAAUGAAGUUUUUAUGCUUCCUGACACUAGAAAUGUCCACAUGAAGAACUUAUUUUGAGGGAAAAAUAGUAUUAAUAAAGGUGUACUUUGGAAAAGCUCUUCACCCAAUUAGCAAAAGGUGAAUGGCGUGGAAUGUCUUAUGAGAAAGCACAACUUUGCUGUGGAACUGUUUUGAAGGAGUAGUUGGGCAAUAAGUACUUUUCUUAAAAUGCUUUAAUGCUAAGCCUACUAAAAUGCUCUGGUACUUGGAUUUAAACAUUUAAACAUUUUCAGGCUUUAUAGCACUGUAGCAGGUGGAAAGCUACCCUAGCCUAAUUGAAAGGCAGAGUUUAAUCAGAGGAUGAGGUUACAUUUCAUUGCCCAUACAGCUUUGAUAUUUAGUUGGUCAGGUUCUUUACCUGACCUUUAAAAAAAUGAAGCACUGUAAAACAGUGCUUGCCCCACGACAAGAUCAAAUCUCCUAAGAUCUAUGGGAAAGUUUACCAUCUGCCUUAAAAAUCAUAAUAUGUACCUGUUAUUCAGAUUAAUACAUAGAACUAAAUAGACAUUUCUAUUUGUAAAUAGAAGCAAAGAGCCUUGUAGAUGAAGUAUGCGACCAACAAGCCAUAUUUAAAGAAAUUUUAUUUUUCAUUCAGUACAGAAAGGUGGUGAUGUUUGGGCUUCUUUACUAGAGAACUGAUGUCUUUGAAUUAAAAACUUCAUGUAAAUUCUUGUUUACUCUUGGUCACUAUUCAUCCUUAGUUGCUUUUCCUGUUGCAGAAAGUCUUUGCUAACAGUAGGAAUUGAAAUAACCUAAACACCUCCCUGGGACUAAGAGAAGUUGGGAUCUUGUGUGGAAUUCUGUAUAGUAGUAUUGUUUUUGGCUGCAUUCAGCUUAGAUGUUCAGUGUCAUGUUAAUAACAUAAUAGUGCUACUCAUA